AUUGAACGCUGGCGGCAGGCCUAACACAUGCAAGUCGAACGAGUGGCGGACGGGUGAGUAAUGCAUGGGAAUCUGCCUUAUGGAGGGGGAUAACUACGGGAAACUGUAGCUAAUACCGCGUACCAUAAGAUGAGCCCAUAUGGGAUUAGGUAGUUGGUGAGGUAACGGCUCACCAAGGCGACGAUCCCUAGCUGGUCUGAGAGGAUGAUCAGCCACACUGGGACUGAGACACGGCCCAGACUCCUACGGGAGGCAGCAGUGGGGAAUAUUGCGCAAUGGGCGCAAGCCUGAUGCAGCCAUGCCGCGUGUAUGAAGAAGGCCUUCGGGUUGUAAAGUUCUUUCGGUAGCGAGGCGUUAACUACAGAAGAAGCACCGGCUAACUCCGUGCCAGCAGCCGCGGUAAUUC
rnacentral:rRNA from 1 species